AGUGCAACAAAGUUUAACAUCAACCACAGAACAGACCCACAAUUUUAGCACCGGAAAAACCCUAAAAAUAAGCUCCUCAAUCAUGUAUAAAUCGCCCCUGUUCCGGGUCUCCUCACCGUCCCAAGUCUCCAAGAAACACCUCAAAAAGCAAGCACAUUAAUCAUCUAUUCUACAACAAAAUGGCCAACAAGCUUGUCGCGGUGUUUCUCAUGUGCAUCGUCCUCGCCGGAGCGAUGUACGUGCGCGAGGCCGAGGCCACCAAGGAGUCUUUCAAGUCGUGCUUCACCGGCUGCCACGACGGGUGCAAGGCCGAGGGCCAUGGCUUCAGCUUCUGCGAGGUGAAGUGCGACACCGACUGCACUGACAAGGAAAUCGCAGAGACACUAAAUUUGCAUUAAGCGGUCAUGACUGGUGCAAAGUCCUUCAAGGGGAAGAAGAGGGGAGAUCAGUGAUGUAAUAAAUCAGUGGAAUUGAUUUUCAUUCUUCUGAUUCCAUCACCAUUAUUAUACUCUUGAAGAACUUUUAAUAAAAAGCUUAUGUUGAAAGCUUAA